GGCUCUAUAGUGUAGUGGUUAUCACCUCGGAUUCUGAUCAGGUCACCAUUCCGGUAACGCCAGUUCGAAUCUGGCUAGGGCCU
rnacentral:tRNA from 2 species